rnacentral:lncRNA from 1 species
CAGAUGUAAAACACACACACACACGUGGGACCAUGUGUGUGUCCCCACAUAUUACUGUAGUUCUGUACACUUUUCAUCGUUUUUGCUUGGAAGAGUCCAAGUAGGCGUUGAGGGCAAACCUCUCGCCCCCCAUCUGGUCGGUCUCUCAUCUCUCAGGGAGCAUCACGCGCGCCGGUACAAAGUUAAAGUUUACACACACGCGAGAACAUGCACAACCUUCGUAGUACUUAACGGAUCCAGGGUUUGUCAACCCACUGUCGAGCCAAGGGGAAAAUCAAUACAUUGCAAGGCCUUUGCAUUGGCGCAGACCCAGAGCCAUACUCAGACGGAGCUGAAGAUAAUCCCAACCAAAAACUUAAACCGAUUAUAAGUAACGCUCGAAGAGAAUGAAAUAACUUCUUAUCGGGAAACGACCGGGGGCCAAUUUUCCAAGGUUUCCGAAAACUGGCAACUUUGAGCUGUCGCAGUCGAUAAUAAUUAGCGAGAAUUCUCGGCAAUAAAAAAGCAAGAAAAUAUUUAAAAUAACAAAAGCGGGAAACACACAGUGCUGCGGCAACGAAAACACGUUUUGCUAUUCGCAAGGACAUCUGUUCACAUCUUACCGGGCAGCAUUAGAUUCUUUAGAUACCUCUAAUACUGUCAGGUAAAGAUGUCGUCCGUGUCCUUAUCCAUCAUAAAUCCCAAGAAGAGCAAACAAGGCGUAAAAAACUAGUAUUUUCAAUGGUGCGUACAGAAGCCCGAAAAACAGAUCACAGCGGAAGGAAGGACGGAGAAGAGCACGAAAGACCGAAGAAAGAGAGAGCUGCUGAAUGUCGAUGUGGAUAAAUGAACAGGCGGCGGCAGAGAAAUGGUCAUAAAUUCUUUUUUUUUGCAGCAUCAGCAGCAGAAACGACAAGACGCUACGCUACGCGACGCGACGCGUUUUGGGAUGACAUCAGUAAGAGACAGAAAGAGAGAUAGAGAGCGAGAAAAAUCUGUACUCGGCCCCUCUUCUGUUCGACGGUCGACCGGCGCCGCCAAUGGGCAAGUGAUGGGGAGGGAACGGAGAGUGUGAGUGCAGGUAAACCUUAUAGAAAGACGACAACGCGGACGGAGGAACGGGCAGAAGAGGAACCAAUAAAAUAUAUAUUUUAUGGUUCCGCUUCUUUUUCUUCGUCUUGCGUUUCGUUUCUUAAUUUCUUCUUUUCAGCAUUUUAGUGACAAAAAUUCACUUUUUAUGAUGCCAUCCCUCCCGCUUUACCCCUCCCCACCUGUUCCGCGAUUUACGAUUAUAGCUAACUAUCCGCAGCAUCAGGUUGGGCUUCGUCUUGUUAUUGUUUUUUUUUCCCUAUCUCUGUUAAAUGUUCAUAAUCCGAAAUUAUAGAAAUGUGAAACCAGAAAAACUGUUCGGACAAAAUCUUCCAAAAGGGAAACAAAUUAAAUGCUUACAAAUUGCAGAAACGUGAUCGUAUCGAAGAGCAAAGCUCGGUUUAUAUGGGCACAUUUCAAUGGUUUAUGGUUGGCAUAAUUGUGCGGAACUUUAAAAAAUGAUGUUAAAAUCGGUCGUACCUGUUCAGAUCAUUUUGCUGAUUGGAUUAUACAUUUAUUUGGGCAUAGAGAAGCUGUUGCCUCGUUUGGUCAGUUCUUGGGUAUUUUCCCUUUUGUGCUCGUCUUCUUCUGCUUGCAAUUCUUUGCAUUUGCCGAUAAGGUGGAGCUUUGGAUGCUGAUCUGCACUCACUCUAUUCUCUCUCUUUACACUCUCUCGCAACACUUACCGUACACAUUGUGCUGUGUGUGUGAAGCAAACACAACUGGGACUAUUGUCAAGAGUGACCGACCAGAGUAACGUGUCUAUGCGGUCUCUGAGGGGGAAACACUUAGCGGGGGAGGGGAGAUAUAUGACCCACAAACACACUCGUAAUGCACACCAAGGAAUAGGGAUCGUAAAAGCGUUUACAGGCUUUUAAAUUUUACUGUUUCUUGGCACAGUGGUACUCACUUUUAAUGUAGUAGUUGGUGUUGCUUGGUUGCUUGGUUGCUUGGCUGGUCCCCCCUGUGGCAUGGGGGGUUAAUCUAAUCAGGAAAACAAAAAAUGCGUUAGCUGCGGUCGUCUGGUGGAAACGAUACCCAAUGGCGGAACCAAACGAAACGAAACGACCAACGUAACCAGAACGAAUAUAACACCUGUUAAUGAACUUAGAAAUACACGGAGACAUGUGCUGGCUCCUCUGCUAAUAUAUGCAUGCUUCCCUUUCGGAGUCUUCAAAUUAAAGAUUCUAUAAAUUAACUGAAUCAGUCCUUAGGGAGUCCUUAGAUUAAGUUUCCCUAAUCCCCUAAUUUCUGAAAGAAUUUACUUCGACCUUGUGCAAGGUGACUGUCUACUGGCUUUCAUUUUUCGCACAUAUUUUCUUGCCUACAGAUAGCAUCUAUACAUAAUAAAUCUGUUGUCAGCGCACAGACACGCUGGCCAAGCCCUGAACGACUCUUGCUAUUUCAUAAUUCGUUUGAGAAUAUUCUAAGCGGUCUAACGGUCAGAAAAAGGUGCCAAGUCAGCGGCAAUCGUGCGACAAUUUCACAAGCAACACAAUCAUCGGCCAAUCUAAAAAAUUAAAUCAGGCAAUACGCGAUAGGACAGGGCACGGCUGGGCUGGGCUGGGCAUGGCCGCACUUCAAGUCCUCAGGCCGAGUGCUAAUCGAAAUAGCGGCCAGAACACUUGUGGUAUCCACACCCAAACACAUGGCCAUACCACAUGAUAAUGUCACAUUUAUACACCAUCCCAAAGCCAUUCUCCCGCUGAAAACCAAUAACGAUCGAUUCAAAGUCAAACAAAGCCAAACAAUUCCAACCAACAAAUCCCAUUGACAGUCAAUAUGCCCGAGGGGAAACUGUUGAAAUGAGGCUCAUAUCGCUGCAUAUCUCACAUCUGACAUCUGGUUUGGGUUUUCGGUGGAGUUGCUGCAGCUGCAUGUGGCAGGGGAGAACACAUAGGACACUUGAACGAACUGAUUUGAGAGCCCUUUGACUUGACCAUUGACCAAUUGUAAUCAUCUUUGAGACCCAAAAAUCCGUCUUUUCUGUCGGUUCGAGGCAAUCUCACUGUCUUGCAGCAGUUGAAGAAUUGUCCAAAGCGCCGUCAGAGUGGAGAAUUGUAGUGUGUAGAGAGGAGCAGUAUCUAAUCGGCGCCUGAGGAAAGAGUAUCUAAUCAUGAACGACGGACGCACCACAAGUGCGUAUGGAGAGUAUCUAAUCGUGUGUUGAGUCUAAGACCACGCCAGUGGGGAGCCUGCACUAACUACAUAUAUACACAUACAUAUCUUGACGAUUAGAUCCAGCAAUUCCGGGGUAAAAAAUAUGAAGAAUGUGUGAAAUAAGAGUAGAUCCAAUAGCUGGAAUACGGAAAUAAACGAACACUUAUAACUGUCUGAUGGCACAGCCCCCCUCUCGUCCACCUCCACCGUCCACCGUCCACCGUCCACCGUAUCUCGCCAGGCAACAGAGAGCGAAAAUAUACGAGUACACCAGAGGCGCUGCCACUGAAAUGAGCUCCAAUCAAAAUAUUGAGCAUGAUUUAUAAAUGACGGACGGGGUGUAAUAUAAUAUGACUUGACAUGAUAAUAGAGCGAAGCCAAAAGGAAAACGAAGGAAAAUAACAGAAAAGAAAAGAAAAGAAAAGCAAAGCAUGAACACGAUGAAGCUGCAGCAGCAGGGGAAGGCCAGUGGAGGGGGGGAAAGGGGCAAUGAAUGGGCGUAAAUCAAUUAAAGGGGCUAACAAAGCAAUCAAGCUCUAGAUUCAUAUGAAACGGGAAUGGGAAUGGGAAUGGAAAUGGGGUACUACAAGCUCCCGUACCGACCCGAGCGAGUCAUGCUCCGUCACUCCUUGACUGGAUUGUGUCACAGCAAAGAGUUCAAUUGCCCCAAAAAUGCAUUCGAUAGCCGCAGUCGAACUGGACUUCAACACUUCAUCAACGAACGCGCAGUGUGUACCCCUAAUGAAGCAAACUUGUAAGUCGGCAUGGGCUCUUUUUCUCUCGUUGUGCAUUAAUUAGUUAUACACUAAUUUCCAAUUCCGAUUUCAGGCAUGCAAAUGUUAAUUGACCACUUAAGUUAAAACUUCACAAUGAUCGUUAAUAAUACCGAGCGAUCUUUAAAGAAAAGAGAAGAAAGAGAAGGAGCAGGCAGAAGGUUGACUGAACGACGACGACAAACUGUAAGCCAAAAGAACAGGUUCAAAACCUUAACUAGCCAAGUCGAAAACUCGUAAAAGAUAUGCAGCCAGCCAACACACACACACAGCGGUCCGGGAUUCAUUCGACUGUAAGUAGUCACCUUCCAGAGCUGGUGCUGAUGAUGCCGAGUAUGUGGGAAAGCUGAGGCAGGCCCCUUUGAGCUUCAGGCUCUUAACUGUCCGUUAAUGAUCUUUUCUGCUGGCUCAUUUAGUCAGCAUCAUGUGUGUGUGCCCAUAAGAUGUGAAUUUUGUCUGGGUUCUAGCGAAAUUGAGAACAGAAUUUGACAAGUAAUUGGAACAAUUUAAUUUUGAAAAUUUCACACGAAUGAGGUUUAAAAGAUGGAUUAGAUUCCACUCCAGUACUUAUUUGAUCAUUAGUUUAUGACCAAAAUCGCUGUUAUAGGAAAUUCAAUUAACUGUAGUUGGUUUCUAUCUAGAGCAGUGACUAUAAAACAUAAAAACUAUUAUCUUAAAUUGAUCAAACACUGGUACGGGUACGGGCACAGGUACAGGUACAGCUAAGUGGUGCAGUGAGUAUGGGAAGAGAAAUCCAUGCUCAUGGCUCAUAAUCAAGGGCCAUGAAAGCUGUUUCCUGCCCAAGAUGAUUGCAUUGAUUGCACCCAAACUGGAACGGGAAUUGGACCAAAUGGGCAAGGCACAAAAGGAAGGAGUCGCGAUUCUGACUCGUGCCGCUGCUAAAAGAAUGCACAUGGAGUGAAUGCCGGCCUAGCGAAACUAACACUGCUGGAACACUCACUCUCGUGGCCACAGGUAAUUGAACGUUCCAACCCCACACCAAACACACAGAGAAGGACCAGCGGGUACACUGAGUGGAGCUACUGUGUGCAGCAUAGCCGUGGCUCCAUGACACGCCUGCUCUUUAGCGCUGGCCCUGGGAGGGGCCUAGGACUGGGACUGGGACUGGUCCGCAUGCGGACUGCAUCGCAUCGCUCCGCUGAUUCAGCAUCGUCGCUGGGGUGCAUCAAAUUAGCAUUGUUCCCAGAGUCAGUGAGCUUUUUGGGCCCUGGAAAGAGGGCUCGCGAGACUGUACUUGCAAUGCAAGAAUAACCUUUAAUUGGAUUGAGGAAUUUAAAAUAAAUAUUAAAAUGUUUGUCAUUCAUCAAAAUACUCGCAUUCUGUUCAUUUCAUAGCAUAGAUAAUCCCAUGGUUGGUGGGAGGGAGGGAGGCAGGGAAUUAAUUACCCAAUUACUCGUACACAUUGACACACUCGUGGACUGUAGACUGUGAAACGUAACUAUCAUAAAAGCAUAUUUCGUGGAGCAACAAGUACAGUGUUCGAGCAGGCAUUAAUAACUUGGCCUGCAAUUUGCAUUCGUUAUCCGAAACACACAUGGACGCCCGCCCGUACAUCUACGAC